rnacentral:rRNA from 1 species
AAGCGUUAAGCAUCCCACCUGGGGAGUACGCCGCAACGUGAAACUCAAAGGAAUUGACGGGGCCCGCACAAGCGGAGGAACAUGUGUUUAUUCGAUGAUACGCGAGGAACCUUACCCGGGCUUGAACUGCAGCCGAACGAUAGAGAGAUCUUGAGGUCCUUCGGGACGGCUGUGGAGGUGCUGCAUGGUUGUCGUCAGCUCGUGCCGUGAGGUGUCGGCUUAAGUGCCAUAACGAGCGCAACCCCUUUCAUUAGUUGCCAUCAGGUAAUGCUGGGCACUCUGGUGAUACUGCCACCGUAAGGUGUGAGGAAGGUGGGGAUGACGUCAAAUCAGCACGGCCCUUACGUCCGGGGCUACACACGUGUUACAAUGGGGGGUACAGAGAGUCGGAUGUACGCAAGUACAUUCUAAUCCUAAAAGCCUUCCUCAGUUCGGAUUGGGGUCUGCAACCCGACCCCAUGAAGCUGGAUUCGCUAGUAAUCGCGCAUCAGCCAUGGCGCGGUGAAUACGUUCCCGGGCCUUGUACACACCGCCCGUCAAGCCAUGAAAGCCGGGGGCGCUUGAAGUCCGUGACCGCAAGGAUCGGCCUAGGGUGAAACAGGUGAUUGGGGCU